UGGGAAGAAGCUUAAAUUGGGGGAAACUGCCGCGAAGUUAUUAUUUUUUUAAGGCAUACCUUAAUUAUUAAUAUCAGCUAUAAAAUAUUAUUAUUAAGGUAGUUUUAUGCUAAACUUCAUUAUAGAAGCAAUUCUGUUUUAAAGUAUUAGUCAUUUAAUUAAAAAAAAAAACACCUUUCUUAAGAUAAUUAGUUUCAGUUAACCCUUUUAAGUAACAUCU
rnacentral:rRNA from 1 species